rnacentral:rRNA from 1 species
UACGGGGGGGGCAAGCGUUGUUCGGAAUUACUGGGCGUAAAGGGCUCGUAGGCGGCCAACUAAGUCGGAUGUGAAAUCCCCAAGCUUAACUUGGGAACUGCAUCCGAUACUGGAUGGCUUGAAUCCGGGAGAGGGAUGCAGAAUUCCAGGUGUAGCGGUGAAAUGCGUAGAUAUCUGGAGGAACACCUGCGGUGUAGACGGCUUUCUGGACCAUUGCUGACGCUGAGACACGAAAGCGUGGGUAGCAAACAGG